rnacentral:rRNA from 1 species
GAUGGGCCCGCGGCCUAUCAGCUUGUUGGUGGGGUGAUGGCCUACCAAGGCGACGACGGGUAGCCGGCCUGAGAGGGUGUCCGGCCACACUGGGACUGAGAUACGGCCCAGACUCCUACGGGAGGCAGCAGUGGGGAAUAUUGCACAAUGGGCGCAAGCCUGAUGCAGCGACGCCGCGUGAGGGAUGACGGCCUUCGGGUUGUAAACCUCUUUCACUAGGGACGAAGCGCGAGUGACGGUACCUAGAGAAGAAGCACCGGCCAACUACGUGCCAGCAGCCGCGGUAAUACGUAGGGUGCGAGCGUUGUCCGGAAUUACUGGGCGUAAAGAGCUCGUAGGUGGUUUGUCGCGUUGUUCGUGAAAACUCACAGCUUAACUGUGGGCGUGCGGGCGAUACGGGCAGACUGGAGUACUGCAGGGGAGACUGGAAUUCCUGGUGUAGCGGUGGAAUGCGCAGAUAUCAGGAGGAACACCGGUGGCGAAGGCGGGUCUCUGGGCAGUAACUGACGCUGAGGAGCGAAAGCGUGGGGAGCGAACAGGAUUAGAUACCCUGGUAGUCCACGCCGUAAACGGUGGGUACUAGGUGU